AUGGGAUUGAGGAUGGAGCUUUGCCCAGCAAAUGAUUCUAGGUUGGUGCAAUGGUGGUCAGGAGCCAGAAAGCGAAUACACAAGCAAACUCGGAAAAGAUUCGACACGUUCGUAAUGCUUAUCUGCUGGACACUAUGGAAACAGAGGAACGCGAGGGUGUUCGGAUCGGGCCAGAUCAAGAACGAGUGGGAUACGGUGGACAUGAUCUUCGACGACUUGAGGACUUGGGCCAUGGUAGGAGCGUUUGGAGGACAACGUGUAUCCGAGUAG
rnacentral:rRNA from 1 species